rnacentral:lncRNA from 1 species
GUCAGUGUAACGUUUGCGGUUCACUGAUUGAUGUAUUGGCGCAGGUAGUCUAGAGUGGAAUGUCUUCAUGCUCGAGUGAUCAUCACAAGAUUUGUUUACAGCCUGACAAUGUUCCACUGUGUGUGAGCUUGACCACAAACCUGGACACAAUGGCGAACGAAGAAAAUGAUGAAAGUUGGAAUAUAAAAUUAAGGCAGGAUACUGAACAGGAAUUUUUCACCGAACUUGCGCUGCACGAAGCUGAACGUUGGAUACAGG